rnacentral:piRNA from 1 species
UGGUCUUUGGUUCAUUGUCCUGUGAUACAA